UACGUAGGAUCCAAGCGUUGUCCGGAUUUACUGGGUGUAAAGGGUGCGCAGGCGGACUUGUGCGUCAGGGGUUAAAUACAUCGGCUCAACCGAUGAACUGCCCUUGAUACGGCAAGCCUAGAGUGCGAGAGAGGAUGGUAGAAUUCCUGGUGUAGCGGUGAAAUGCGUAGAUAUCAGGAGGAAUACCAGUGGCGAAGGCGGCCAUCUGGCUCGCAACUGACGCUCAGGCACGAAAGCGUGGGGAGCAAACAGG
rnacentral:rRNA from 1 species